rnacentral:rRNA from 1 species
UACGUAGGUGGCAAGCGUUUGUCCGGAUUUACUGGGCGUAAAGAGCGCGCAGGCGGUCGUUCAAGUCGCGUGUGAAAGCCCCCCGGCUCAACUGGGGAGGGUCACGCGAUACUGCUCGACUCGAAGGCAGGAGAGGGAAGUGGAAUUCCCGGUGUAGUGGUGAAAUGCGUAGAUAUCGGGAGGAACACCAGUGGCGAAGGCGACUUCCUGGCCUGUUCUUGACGCUGAGGCGCGAAAGCUAGGGUAGCAAACGGG